rnacentral:ncRNA from 2 species
UACUCAUGAAGAGGGUGCGAGGGAUCUGGCCUGUCGACCACCCGGCAACCUGCUGUGUACAGCAAGGUGCCAAUGCCUCCUGUAUAGGGACCAUGAGAG